rnacentral:rRNA from 1 species
CCUACGGGAGGCUGCAGUGGGGAAUAUUGGACAAUGGGGGCAACCCUGAUCCAGCCAUGCCGCGUGUGUGAAGAAGGCCCUCGGGUUGUAAAGCACUUUCAGUGAGGAAGAACGCCUGGUGGUUAAUACCCAUCAGGAAAGACAUCACUCACAGAAGAAGCACCGGCUAACUCCGUGCCAGCAGCCGCGGUAAUACGGAGGGUGCGAGCGUUAAUCGGAAUUACUGGGCGUAAAGCGCGCGUAGGUGGCUUGAUAAGCCGGUUGUGAAAGCCCCGGGCUCAACCUGGGAACGGCAUCCGGAACUGUCCAGCUAGAGUGCAGGAGAGGAAGGUAGAAUUCCCGGUGUAGCGGUGAAAUGCGUAGAGAUCGGGAGGAAUACCAGUGGCGAAGGCGGCCUUCUGGACUGACACUGACACUGAGGUGCGAAAGCGUGGGUAGCAAACAGGAUUAGAUACCCCUGUAGUC